rnacentral:lncRNA from 1 species
UUUUAAUAAAAUGCUGUACUGAUAUUGCAGUUUAAAGAUGUUGUUCAUGUACAUGUUCUAAUACAUUUACAAAGUAAAUGUGUGUCUUUAUUCUUCAUGAGUGCACAUCAGAGCUGGGCUAGCCAAUGAAGCUGAGGAGCUCAACAUUUCUUCCUGCAUCAUGUUGCCUGUGACUGCAGAGCUCAGUUGGCAUCCUGUGGUGGAGAAGCCCUUCUGCAGCCUUCUCUUUAUUUUGAAGGUUUCUGUAGCUCUGGGAGCAACCUUCUUGUUGGAAAUGUGUCUUGAGAGCAGCAGCAGAAUGAGGACAGGCAGUGGUGCUGAUAUGGAGAUGGCGUGCACCCUACACAGUCUCUGCCCUGCCUUCCCCUGUACAAAACGAGGAGAUAAUCCAGCAAGUUUGCAGGCCAAAUGGCUCUCUGAACGUGAGCCCACAAAUCGCUGAAUGAGGCAGUGCACUGCUCCAGGAGGUUACAGCAUAGCCAGCCAGAAGGUGGCUUUAACAGUGAUGUUAGAAACAAAAAAUGGCUUGAAACGGUUUGUAACUGACUAUCCUGAUAAUUAAUUGUAGGUAAUGUUGCAGUCACUCAUGCUUCUUCCUUUUUCUCAAAAUAAACUCUUGUUUUCAGCCA